rnacentral:rRNA from 1 species
GACGAACGCUGGCGGCGUGCUUAACACAUGCAAGUCGAACGGAAAGGCCCUGCUUUUGUGAGGUGCUCGAGUGGCGAACGGGUGAGUAACACGUGAGUAACCUGCCCUUGACUUUGGGAUAACUUCAGGAAACUGGGGCUAAUACCGGAUAGGAGCUCCUGCUGCAUGGUGGGGGUUGGAAAGUUUCGGCGGUUGGGGACGGACUCGCGGCUUAUCAGCUUGUUGGUGGGGUAGUGGCUUACCAAGGCUUUGACGGGUAGCCGGCCUGAGAGGGUGACCGGCCACAUUGGGACUGAGAUACGGCCCAGACUCCUACGGGAGGCAGCAGUGGGGAAUAUUGCACAAUGGGCGGAAGCCUGAUGCAGCAACGCCGCGUGCGGGAUGACGGCCUUCGGGUUGUAAACCGCUUUCGCCUGUGACGAAGCGUGAGUGACGGUAAUGGGUAAAGAAGCACCGGCUAACUACGUG